rfam:Phaethon lepturus contig128207, whole genome shotgun sequence.
GCUCUGAUAGUUUAUAAAAACAUUGGCCUUGUAAGCCAAAGACUGGAGGCUCCAACCCUUCUCAGAGCU